rnacentral:rRNA from 1 species
CUAAAGUGUAGGCCGGUAUCCGCGGUGAUAUGUAGGGGGGAAUCGUUGUCGUGAGUCAUUGGGUGUAAAGAGCUCGUAGGGGGUUCGGUAAGUGGGUGGGGAACUCUCCGUGCGCAACACGGAGCGGCCACCUGGUACUGCUGUGACUAGAGUCCGGUAGGGGAGUGUGGAAUUCCCGGUGUAGCGGUGAAAUGCGCAGAUAUCGGGAGGAACACCAGUAGCGAAGGCGGCACUCUGGGCCGUGACUGACGCUGAGGAGCGAAAGCGUGGGUAGCAAACAGGAUUAGAUACCCGAGUAGUC